rnacentral:rRNA from 1 species
AUUGAACGCUGGCGGCAGGCCUAACACAUGCAAGUCGAGCGGAUGAAGGGAGCUUGCUCCUGGAUUCAUCGGCGGACGGGUGAGUAAUGCCUAGGAAUUUGCCUGGUAUUGGGGGAUAACGUCCGGAAACGGGCGCUAAUACCGCAUAAGUCCUGUUGGAGAAAGUGGGGGGACUUCGGACCUCACGCUAUCAGAUGAGCCUAGGUCGGAUUAGCUAGUUGGUGGGGUAAAGGCCUACCAAGGCCACGAUCCGUAACUGGUCUGAGAGGAUGAUCAGCCACACUGGAACUGAGACACGGUCCAGACUCCUACGGGAGGCAGCAGUGGGGAAUAUUGGGCAAUGGGCGAAAGCCUGAUCCAGCCAUGCCGCGUGUGUGAAGAAGGUCUUCGGAUUGUAAAGCUCUUUAAGUUGGGAAGAAGAGCAGUAAGUUAAUAUCUUGCUGUUUUGACGGUACCAACAGAGUAAGCACCGGCUAACUUCGUG